AGACUUUGAUCAUGGCUCAGGAUGAACGCUAGCUACAGGCUUAACACAUGCAAGUCGAGGGGCAGCAUGAUUGAAGCUUGCUUCAAUUGAUGGCGACCGGCGCACGGGAGAGUAACACGUAUCCAACCUUCCGUACACUCAGGGAUAGCCUUUCGAAAGAAAGAUUAAUACCUGAUGGUAUCUUAAGCACACAUGUAAUUAAGAUUAAAGAUUUAUCGGUGUACGAUGGGGAUGCGUUCCAUUAGGUAGUAGGCGGGGUAACGGCCCACCUAGCCUACGAUGGAUAGGGGUUCUGAGAGGAAGGUCCCCCACAUUGGAACUGAGACACGGUCCAAACUCCUACGGGAGGCAGCAGUGAGGAAUAUUGGUCAAUGGACGAGAGUCUGAACCAGCCAAGUAGCGUGAAGGAUGAAGGUCCUACGGAUUGUAGACUUCUUUUAUAAGGGAAUAAAACCUCCCACGUGUGGGAGCUUGUAUGUACCUUAUGAAUAAGCAUCGGCUAACUCCGUGCCAGCAGCCGCGGUAAUACGGAAGGUCCGGGCGUUAUCCGGAUUUAUUGGGUUUAAAGGGAGCGUAGGCCGGAGAUUAAGCGUGUUGUGAAAUGUAGAUGCUCAACAUCUGAACUGCAGCGCGAACUGGUUUCCUUGAGUACGCACAAGGUGGGCGGAAUUCGUGGUGUAGCGGUGAAAUGCUUAGAUAUCACGAAGAACUCCGAUUGCGAAGGCAGCUCACUGGAGCGCAACUGACGCUGAAGCUCGAAAGUGCGGGUAUCGAACAGGAUUAGAUACCCUGGUAGUCCGCACGGUAAACGAUGGAUGCCCGCUGUUGGUCUGAAUAGGUCAGCGGCCAAGCGAAAGCAUUAAGCAUCCCACCUGGGGAAUACGCCGGCAACGGUGCAACUCAAAGGAAUUGA
rnacentral:rRNA from 1 species